GUAGUCCAGGCAGAGGUUCAACAUGACAAUAUAUGAAGAGGGGGAGGGGUAGGAGAGAAUACGGGAGGAGAGAUAAUAUAUAUUUGUGUAUGUGACUAUUCAAAUGACAAGGUCAGAGACUGUAAAAAGUAAGAUAAGAUCUCUCCUUUUGUAGUCAGUUAACUAAUACCAGAAGGGUUUUGUUUUAGCAGGUAAACAUGGUGUUUCUUACUAAGCCCUUAGUCUUGAACUGUGUAUGGAUGCUCAUGUUGGGGCAUAUCCGUGCACCAGGAUAGAAUCAUACUUGUUACACAGAAAGACCCUCUGUGUUCCCAAUAAUUCCUAGCUGGGGAACCACUUGACUUCAGAUUAUAAAUCUCAGCUGUUCCAUGCAGAAGGGAGAGCUAGGCUUUGGGCUACAAAAUGUUGAAAACCACAGCACAGAAGCCACCUACAGCACCCAACCACCAGCUUGCCAGGAAGAUAGUAGAGAAAACAGAAAGGAGGCAGAUGUGGUUGUUGCCCAGUUGGAAACUAUGGCCUAACAAGACUUCAAGUUAGGGUUGUUGUGAGAACCAAGAAAGAGUCGGAUUCUCAACGCCUUUUGGAAUAUUAAAAUGAGCCUCUACCGUUUGGUCCCCUCCUUUCUGUUGGACUGCUUUGUCAACUGUUGCCUGCCAGCGAUUCGAGGAUGACCAUCUGCCACCAUCUCUGCUCUGGGGACCUGACAAGAAGGAACGACAUUCUUGCACUGUGGGGAAAGCUUAGUGGUUCUCCUCUACCUUCAUUCCUUCACUGAAAAUUCUUUUGUUGUUGUUACAAGUUUUCUGUAUUCUAGGCACUGUACUAGACAUCAGAAAUCCAUGGAAUUUUAAUUUACAGAGAAGACUGA